UGGGGAAUAUUGCACAAUGGGGGAAACCCUGAUGCAGCGACGCCGCGUGAACGAAGAAGGUAUUCGUAUCGUAAAGUUCUGUCCUAUGGGAAGAUAAUGACAGUACCAUAGAAGAAAGCUCCGGCUAAAUACGUGCCAGCAGCCGCGGUAAUACGUAUGGAGCGAGCGUGGUCCGGAAUUAUUGGGCGUAAAGGGUACGCAGGCGGUUUAAUAAGUCGAAUGUUAAAGAUCGGGGCUCAACCCCGCAAAGCAUUGGAAACUGAUAAACUUGAGUAGUGGAGAGGAAAGUGGAAUUCCUAGUGUAGUGGUGAAAUACGUAGAUAUUAGGAGGAAUACCAGUAGCGAAGGCGACUUUCUGGACACAAACUGACGCUGAGGUACGAAAGCGUGGGGAGCAAACAGG
rnacentral:rRNA from 1 species